CGAGGUUCAAGAAGAGAGCUGUAAAUUCGCUCCAAGCACAUGACUAUCAGUGUCAUCUGAAUGUUCGACAUGUAUACACACUAUAAGUUCGCUCAUAUUGGAUUUAAAGUCCAGCAAAUUUACAUUUGUACCCUGUCUUGGUAUUCAUGUAUUACAUGAGUAAAAACGCACGCGAUUUCAACGAUUACGGUUACUGCGGGUUGCCGUGAAGAGAUUGACACACAACACAGGAUGAUUGCAAAGAAAACUCAUGUCGGUAAUUCAGCAUGGCUUUCUUCCCCACCUCGAGUUUUCAACUGAAGACACUGGUCUUUCUCGUAUUGAUUUAUUACAAGAGGGCAUUUGCUGUUGAUAGUUCUGUUCGCUUGCAUGAAGGAUCUUCAGAUAAAGAGGGCGCGGUCUAGGUCAACGUGGCAGGUGAAUGGAGGAAUAUCUGCAAUGACGGAUGGGAUGCACUGGAUGCUCUGGUAACCUGCAGACAGCUGGGGUUUACUGAAGGAUAUGCUAUGUUUUGGUCGAAGCCAAGUACUUCACAUAAUCGGUAUGGUCCGACACGUUCGCCAAUACCUACCCUUUUAACAGAGGGAAGCAAUUUCGCUUGCAACGGAAACGAGGAAACCCUGUUAUCCUGCAAGUACACGAAACACGACACAUAUUGUCCAACAUUAGCUACAGUCACCUGUGGCAUCACAGCAGCCAAAUACAGCGAAUUACUGGCCAAUGUUAAUAUAUCGCCCGACUGGAAGGAGUAUGAAUAUGAAAGCUUUUCUCGACAUUUUAUAUAUACCGUCGGCACUUCAAAGGGCAACUCGCAUGGCCAAUUGCUUGUUACAUACAACAACAACGAAAAACAUGUACAUCUAACUGGCGGUGUAUGCGACAUGGACCAGCGAGCGGCUAUGUUGAUAUGCGAUGCUCAAGGAUAUAGUCAUGGUGGAGAGAAAACCAAAGUCCCAACACCAGAAGGCCUGCCAAUGUUUAUCGGCACGAUAACAUGUCUUGAAUCCUGGGGAUUAAGAUACUGCGAAAUCCAGUUGAUAUCAAGAGGCGUGUGUCCUGAUGGCAUAAAAUAUAAUGGAGUGCGGUGUUGUAAGUCAGUGUAUCAUUGUUCUUGUGUUUUUGUAUUCUUUUGUAUUUUUCUGUCACAUAACCUCAUCUUUGCCUCUAGAUUUUCCAACAAAUUUAUAAAUAAACUUUCUCCGUAAAUAUUCUUGGUUUUACGUCUUUGAUCAAAAUGUGUAAUACAUUUUGAUUUGGGUGUGUUCCCCAUUACGACUACAUCAUUAGAAAUAUGCCUCCAUAUUCACAAAACUUAUGUUUACUUAAAUGAUCCAAUAUUGCAUAAAAUCUGGCUAUAAAUAUGUU